CGGCCUCCGGCGCCGACGCCAUUGGCAAGAUUUUCCAGGGGGCCGACCUCUGGAGCAAGAUCGCCGCCGACCCCACCACGCGCGCCUACCUCGACCAGCCCGACUUCAUGCAGAUGCUGCGCGAUCUGCAGCGGAACCCCGGCAACCUCAACAACUACCUCUCCGACCCCCGCAUGAUGCAGGUGCUCAGCCUCAUGCUCAACGUCAAGGUCCAGAACCAGAACAAUGAGGCCUCCGAGCCGACGCCGGCCAAGUCGUCCCCGCCACCGCCACAGAAGCAGCCCGAGACCAAGCCGAGGGAGCCGGAGCCCGAACCGGUGGAGAUGACCGAUGAGGAGAAGGAGCGGAAGGAGAGGAAGGCUGCGGCGCAGAAGGAGAAGGAGGCGGGGAACGCCGCUUACAAAAAGAAGGAU
rnacentral:lncRNA from 1 species